rnacentral:rRNA from 1 species
CUACGGGGGGCAGCAGUGGGGAAUAUUGCACAAUGGGGGAAACCCUGAUGCAGCAACGCCGCGUGAGCGAUGAAGGCCUUCGGGUUGUAAAGCUCUGUCUUCGCUGAAGAUAAUGACGGUAAGCGAGGAGGAAGCCACGGCUAACUACGUGCCAGCAGCCGCGGUAAUACGUAGGUGGCAAGCGUUGUCCGGAAUUAUUGGGCGUAAAGGGUGCGUAGGUGGCUCUUUAAGGGGGAUGUGAAAGCCCUUGGCUUAACCAAGGAACUGCAUUCCAAACUGGAGAGCUAGAGUGCAGGAGAGGAAAGUGGAAUUCCUAGUGUAGCGGUGAAAUGCGUAGAGAUUAGGAGGAACACCAGUGGCGAAGGCGACUUUCUGGACUGUAACUGACACUGAGGCACGAAAGCGUGGGGAGCAAACAGGAUUAGAUACCCGUGUAGUC